rnacentral:rRNA from 1 species
AUUGAACGCUGGCGGAAUGCUUUACACAUGCAAGUCGAACGGCAGCACGGGGGCAACCCUGGUGGCGAGUGGCGAACGGGUGAGUAAUAUAUCGGAACGGGCCCAGUCGUGGGGGAUAACGUAGCGAAAGUUACGCUAAUACCGCAUACGAUCUACGGAUGAAAGCUGGGGAUCGCAAGACCCAGGGCGAUGGGAGGCGCCGAUAUCAGAUUAGGUAGUUGGUGAGGUAAAGGCUCACCAAGCCAACGAUCUGUAGCUGGUCUGAGAGGACGACCAGCCACACUGGGACUGAGACACGGCCCAGACUCCUACGGGAGGCAGCAGUGGGGAAUUUUGGACAAUGGGCGCAAGCCUGAUCCAGCCAUUCCGCAUGCAGGACGAAGGCCUUCGGGUUGUAAACUGCUUUUGUACGGAACGAAAAAGCCUUGGCUAAUACCCAGGGUCCAUGACGGUACCGUAAGAAUAAGCACCGGCUAACUACGUGCCAGCCGCCGCCGUAA